AAAGUUCAAAAAUUCUUGUUUGGAAUGUGGCCAAAUGAUAAGUAUAUCGUCGAGAUAUCUGAGGUACAAAAGAAGUAUUUUGAAUUAUUAAGCUGUCGAUGGGAUAUCGAUGGGAUAUAGUUCUCCCUUGAUAGAAUAACAGUGGACUGACCCCUUAUCUGCAGGUUUUAUAACAAUUCUGCGGUUUUUGCGUAGUUUGGUGAGACCACGACUGUUAACACCAAACUUUACAUUUACGUAAUGUAUAUAUAUAUUUUUGUUUAUUAUGCAUGCACGUCUUUGUUUACAUUUAUGACGUCAUGGUAAUUCCGUUACGUCAUUCUUUAGUUAACGUUAAUUUCUUUGUCUUUCCGAAAGAUGUUUGUUAAUAUUCCAAAAGAAUGUUUGUGGUACGCCGACAUAUACGAAGCCCUGAAUAAUUAGAAGAAGAAGAACAAUGUUAAGAAGAAGAAGAAUAUGAAGAAAAAGAUGAAGAAAAGAAAACAACAGAACAAUUAAACGUGAACGGACCGACGACUUCAGACUGCCCAAGGCUUCAUCAUUGGUUUUGGUUUUUUAAAUAGCCGAGUCGCAUGAUUCCUUUUAAUGAUGUUCGAAGUUUGUAACAUAAUUGUCCAUAUGGAUUGUCGAAUUACAGACUUUAACAUGCAUCUGUGACGUCACAGCAUGUCUCUCCUGGUAUACACGUGACCUUGUGACAGAUCUCCGAGUUACUGAAGAUGGUAGAGUCCAGUUCCGUGUACAGCUGUGAUGUUUUAUACACCACGACAGAGAGCAGCAUCACAUUU